CAUCGUCUGUGGACCUAUUUGGGCGGUAAGCAAAUUGGAGUGGGUCUAGGGUGUCAGGUAGGGUGGAGGUGAUAUGGUCCUUGACGAGUCUCUCAAAGCACUUCAUGACGACGGAAGUGAGUGCUACGGGCGGUAGUCGUUUACCUCAGUUACCUUAGCUUUCUUGGGAACAGGAACAAUGGUGGCCCUCUUGAAGCAUGCGGGAACAGCAGACUGGGAUAGGGAUUGAUUGAAUAUGUCCGUAAAGACACCAGCCAGCUGGUCUGCCAAUGCUCUGAGGGCGCGGCUGGGGAUGCCGUCUGGGCCUGCAGCCUUGCGAGGGUUAACGCGUUUAAAUGUUUUACUCACCUCGGCUGCAGUGAAGGAGAGUCCGCAUGUUUUGGUUGCGGGCCGUGUCAGUGGCACUGUAUUGUCCUCAAAGCGGGCAAAAAAGUUAUUUAGUCUGCCUGGGAGCAAGACAUCCUGGUCCGUGACUUCUUUUUGUAAUCCGUGAUUGACUGUAGACCCUGCCACAUACCUCUUGUGUCUGAGCCGUUGAAUUGCGAUUCUACUUUGUCUCUAUACUGACGCUUAGCUUGUUUGAUUGCCUUGUGGAGGGUCACCUUGCCCUGAUUAAAAGCAGUGGUUCGCGCUUUCAGUUUCACGCAAAUACUGCCAUCAAUCCACGGUUUCUGGUUUGGGAAUGUUUCAAUUGUUGCUAUGGGAACGACAUCUUCAACGCACGUUCUAAUGAACUCGCUCACCGAAUCAGCGUAUUCAUCAAUGUUGUUGUUUGACGCAAUACGAAACAUAUCCCAGUCCACGUGAUGGAGGCAGUCUUGGAGCGUGGAAUCAGAUUGGUCGGACCAGCGUUGAACAGACCUCAGCGUGGGAGCUUCUUGUUUUAGCUUUUGUCUGUAGGCAGGGAGCAACAAAAUGGAGUCGUGGUCAGCUUUUCCGAAAGGAGGGCGGGGCAGGGCCUUAUCUGCAUCGCGGAAGUUAGAAUAGCAAUGAUUUUUUUGUUUUCAGAUUAGCCUUGUUAAAAUCCCCAGCUUCAAUGAAUGCAGCCUCCGGAUAUGUGGAUUCCAGUUUGCAAAGAGUCAGUCAGGAAGUUAAAGCUUGGUCGCAAAUAGGUCUUCCAAAUGGACAAUGACCCCAAACAUACUUCCAAAGUUGUGGCAAAAUGGCAUAAGGACAACAAAGUCAAGGUAUUGGAGUGGCCAUUACAAAGCCCUGACCUCAAUCCCAUAGAAAAUGUGUGGGCAGAACUGAAAAAGCGUGUGCGAGCAAGGAGGCCUACAAACCUGACUCAGAUACACCAGCUCCAUCAGGAGGAAUGGGCCAAAAUUCACCCAACUUAUUGUGGGAAGCUUGUGAAAGGCUACCUGAAACGUUUGACCCAAGUUAUAUAAUUUAAAGGCAAUGCUACCAAAUACUAAUUGAGUGUAUGUAAACUUCUGACCCACUGGGAAUGUGAUGAAAGAAAUAAAAACUGAAAUAAAUUAUUCUCUCUACUAUUAUUCCCACAUUUCACAUUCUUAAAAUGAAGUGGGGAUCCUAACUGACCUAAGACAGGGUAUUUUUACUCAGAUUAAAUGUCAGGAUUUGUGAAAAACUGAGUAAAAUGUAUUUGGCUAAGGUGUAUGUAAACUUCCGACUUCAACUGUAUAUAUUUUUUGGGGCUUUCCUGUUUUGCAUGUUAUUUUGGCAUUAAUAUGUUUCACAUAUCAAUUUGCAUUUGGUACCUUGGAUCGAGUGUUAGCACCAACCCAUGAAACCCCCAUUUCUCGGCCGUGUAAAUUGGGGCCAUGUUUUUGCAGAUGUAAGUUGUAACAGCAGCUGUUACCUUCCAUCUUCGGGAUUCUUUACCAUAUAGUGUGCCGCGGGCAAAAGCCUCUUGCAACAUCUGAGUCGGGGGUUUGUUCUGAGCACUCAACUGUGCUUUUUUGGGUCUCAUCUGUACUGUUUCACACGAUUCUUGCGUAGGUGAUGAAAGAGGUUAGUGGUGUUUGAGCCUGUUGUUGCGUCCGGCCUGGAGCAUAUUUAUCAGUGGACAGUUUUCUGGUCCGUGUCAGACUUUUCAUACACAAACCAUGUCAAUUAGACCGUUUUAGGGUUAGGAGCUAGGGUUAGUUUUAGGGGUAGGAGCUAGGGUUAGUUUUAGGGUUAGGAGCUAGGGUUAGUUUUAGGGGUAGGAGCUAGGGUUAGUUCUAGGGUUAGUUUUAGGGUUAGGAGCUAGGGUUAGUUUUAGGGUUAGGAGCUAGGGUUAGUUUUAGGGUUAGGAGCUAGGGUUAGUUUUAGGGUUAGGAGCUAGGGUUAGUUUUAGGGUUAGGAGCUAGGGUUAGUUUUAGGGUUAGGGGCUAGGGUUAGUUUUAGGGUUAGGACCUAGGGUUAGUUU